rnacentral:misc_RNA from 1 species
AAGUCGUAACAAGGUUUCCGUAGGUGAACCUGCGGAAGGAUCAUUAACACUAUUUCCAAAAAAAACAUAUCCAAUUUCCUUUGGAUAUUUUACCCCAAUUAGUGAACUCUGUUAGGAAGUGCUUCAUAGCGGAGAAUUGUAAAAAACUCUCUGCUCCCUGACCGCUUCCGCUUUUUUCCUUUUCUAAACAAAAAACCCAAUUGAAUUUUUUGACUGAACUUUUAUUUCUUCUUUUUCAGAAAUGGAAAAGAGAUAUACAUCUAAGAAAUGUUGAAACAACUCUUAGCAACGGAUAUCUUG